UGGUCCCAAGGGGCCGUCGGAACCACCUGCCUGUGACAUCACGGAGGACCUUCGGACGGCGACAAUGGACGACAUUCUGACAGGAGAUAUCCGACCAGUAAGACGGGCUCCACCACCACCCAGAUCUAAGCCAGCCGUCCAACAGCCCAGGAAUGAUGACUUAUUAGUCAUACAGUCACAGGGAGGUCCAAGUUGUAAGGUCCCACCACCAAGACGAAAUGCAAAUGGAAUCUCCAGAUCAACUUCAAUGCCAUUGUCUACCAGCUCCC